GGGGAUUUAGCUCAGUGGUUACGGUGCCUGCCUUGCAAGCACAAGGUCCCAAGUUCGAUCCCUGGUACCCCCC
rfam:Heterocephalus glaber contig80480, whole genome shotgun sequence.